CCUACGGGAGGCUGCAGUAGGGAAUCUUCCACAAUGGGCGAAAGCCUGAUGGAGCAACGCCGCGUGGGUGAGGAAGGUCUUCGGAUCGUAAAACCCUGUUGUUAGAGAAGAAAGUGCGUGAGAGUAACUGUUCACGUUUCGACGGUAUCUAACCAGAAAGCCACGGCUAACUACGUGCCAGCAGCCGCGGUAAUACGUAGGUGGCAAGCGUUAUCCGGAUUUAUUGGGCGUAAAGGGAACGCAGGCGGUCUUUUAAGUCUGAUGUGAAAGCCUUCGGCUUAACCGGAGUAGUGCAUUGGAAACUGGGAGACGUGAGUGCAGAAGAGGAGAGUGGAACUCCAUGUGUAGCGGUGAAAUGCGUAGAUAUAUGGAAGAACACCAGUGGCUAAAGCGGCUCUCUGGUCUGUAACUGACGCUGAGGUUCGAAAGCGUGGGUAGCAAACAGGAUUAGAUACCCCUGUAGUC
rnacentral:rRNA from 1 species